GUGAAUCAUCGAAUUUUUGAACGCAAAUUGCACUCUCUGGCAUUCCGGAGAGUAUGCCUGUUUGAGGGUCAGUCUAAAUAAAAAUCGAGGUGUUGCUGUUUUGUGACCCAUCGGAAUUGGGUUAUCUUUGACCUUUUAAAAGGUUUAAGUGACUUAAAUUUAUUCCCUUUUCCUUCUCAGACUUCCUUA
rnacentral:misc_RNA from 1 species